rnacentral:rRNA from 1 species
CAUCAGGAGGUUAGUGCAAUGGCAUAAGCCAGCUUGACUGCGAGCGUGACGGCGCGAGCAGGUGCGAAAGCAGGUCAUAGUGAUCCGGUGGUUCUGAAUGGAAGGGCCAUCGCUCAACGGAUAAAAGGUACUCCGGGGAUAACAGGCUGAUACCGCCCAAGAGUUCAUAUCGACGGCGGUGUUUGGCACCUCGAUGUCGGCUCAUCACAUCCUGGGGCUGAAGUAGGUCCCAAGGGUAUGGCUGUUCGCCAUUUAAAGUGGUACGCGAGCUGGGUUUAGAACGUCGUGAGACAGUUCGGUCCCUAUCUGCCGUGGGCGCUGGAGAACUGAGGGGGGCUGCUCCUAGUACGAGAGGACCGGAGUGGACGCAUCACUGGUGUUCGGGUUGUCAUGCCAAUGGCACUGCCCGGUAGCUAAAUGCGGAAGAGAUAAGUGCUGAAAGCAUCUAAGCACGAAACUUGCCCCGA